rnacentral:rRNA from 1 species
GACGAACGCUGGCGGCGUGCUUAACACAUGCAAGUCGAACGGAAAGGCCCUGCUUUUGUGGGGUGCUCGAGUGGCGAACGGGUGAGUAACACGUGAGUAACCUGCCCUUGACUUUGGGAUAACUUCAGGAAACUGGGGCUAAUACCGGAUAGGAGCUCCUGCUGCAUGGUGGGGGUUGGAAAGUUUCGGCGGUUGGGGAUGGACUCGCGGCUUAUCAGCUUGUUGGUGGGGUAGUGGCCUACCAAGGCUUUGACGGGUAGCCGGCCUGAGAGGGUGACCGGCCACAUUGGGACUGAGAUACGGCCCAGACUCCUACGGGAGGCAGCAGUGGGGAAUAUUACACAAUGGGCGGAAGCCUGAUGCAGCAACGCCGCGUGCGGGAUGACGGCCUUCGGGUUGUAAACCGCUUUCGCCUGUGACGAAGCGUGAGUGACGGUAAUGGGUAAAGAAGCACCGGCUAACUAC